ACGAACGCUGGCGGCAUGCCUAACACAUGCAAGUCGAACGAGACCUUCGGGUCUAGUGGCGCACGGGUGCGUAACGCGUGGGAACCUGCCCUUAGGUUCGGAAUAACUCCCCGAAAGGGGUGCUAAUACCGGAUAAUGUCUUCGGACCAAAGAUUUAUCGCCUUUGGAUGGGCCCGCGUUGGAUUAGCUAGUUGGUAGGGUAAAAGCCUACCAAGGCGACGAUCCAUAGCUGGUCUGAGAGGAUGAUCAGCCACACUGGGACUGAGACACGGCCCAGACUCAUAGGGGAGGCGGAGGUGGGGAAUAUUGAAAAAUGGGGGAAAGCCAGCCCCACCAAUGCGGGGGGAGUGAUGAGGGCCUUGGGGUUAAAAAGCUUUUUUCCCCGGGAUGAUAAUGACAGUACCGGAAGAAUAAGCUCCGGCUAACCCCGGC
rnacentral:rRNA from 1 species